UUUUAGUUAACUCGAAGUUUUAUGUCGACAUGUCUUCUUUAAGAGCGACAUCUCGUUAAAUUCCAAGUAGAGGUAUAAGUAUUUACCUUUCAGAGUUUCUCUAGACAAGGUACGUGAAAGGUAUUUCAAAUUUGUUGGUUUUAAUUUAUGUCGCCGUAAUAUCUUAUAAUUACAUUUGUAAAACUAACUUUUUUGAUAAAUUUGACUCAAUAAUAUAUAUUUGAAUACAGCUAAAUAUAAAUUCCUAAGAUAACACGUUUAAAUAAAACAUGCAAAAUAUGUAAAAAUUAUAUGAAUAAUAAGUGCAAUGAUAUUAUUGAAUAUAUAAUGACAUAUUAUAACAGUGGAUAUCAUGAUAUAUGAAAGGAAAGUAACUACUUUUUUGAAAAUUUUGCCUCAUUUUAGAAAUGUAGAAUUACAUUCAGAAAUUUUUUUUUCUGAAUCCAUGCAUUGUAUAACUUGUAUAGAACAAUUUUUGGCAUUUCAGCUGCAAAAACUGUAAUCUAAAUGUUAUGAAAUUGCAUAAAAUAUGAUUUUUGCAGCGGCAGUAAAAAGUGUUGCAGAUACAGUCGGCGCUCUUGUUGGAGGAGCCGUCGGAGGAGUUGCUGCUGUUGUAAGCCAAGCUGUUGAUAUACUUGCGGACUUAUAAGCACGAUAUAUGACUUGAGAACGUACUCAAGAUAUUCGAUGACGGCAAGAAGCAUUCUAAAAAAAUUGGAUGCUAUGUAAAAAUUCAACUACAUUAAUAAAUAAAAUAUGUGUUCUUAAAAACAA